rnacentral:antisense_RNA from 1 species
AAAAAAUGAUUUUCUUCUGUUGGCUUGGCAUGAUGAGAAACGGCCUCUGUGAGGGCGAGGUUCAAAAACAAGACCUUUGUGAGCAAUGGGAAGAGACAGCCCCUUUGACUGCAUUUAUUACAGAAGCUGAACGGACAGCUCCCAGCUGAAAAGACAACUUCACCAUCGACGGUUCUCACUAGGUUAAAUGUCAGUAGAUGAAGGCCUCAUCAUCACUCAUACUUAGCUUUUCUCCUUUUCUGCUGCUGCUUCUCCCUAAUUGGAAAUCUUUGGACUAAGAAUCUGUAAAAUAAAAGUCUUUCAAACUGCCUUCAAGUAUCUCCUCUGUGUCACUUGGUAACAAAGGUCUAAGAUAACAGAUAGAGUCCUCAGUGUAACUUGAUAAAUGUUUCCCUUCCUCAGCCUUUUGUCUGAUUGGACAUCUGGAAGGAGGCAGUUGUUGGCUUUGUUACAGUGGUUCAAGAAUGUCAGAAUUGCAGUCACUACAAUUCUCCUGGCUUUUCUCUCAUGGUCCCCAAAUGACUGCUGGAGUUUCAGCCAUCAUAUCAGUGAUCAAGGCAGCUGGAUCCAGGCAGUAAUCCAGGCACUUGGAAGUCCCACCCAAGAACUUCUGCUCUUAUCUCAUUGGUCAUCUUUGUCUGAAAGGAAAGCUGUGAAAUACAGUAUUAUUAAUAAGCACGUUGUUGGCUCCAAUAAUAUAGAGUUUUGUUAACAACAAAGAAGAGGAGAAUGGAGAUUGAGCAACCAGGAAGCAGUCUCAGCCACACCAUCAUAUGGAGAAGUGCCUGUUUCCCAUUCUGCCCGAUUUUAAGUUUCCUGAGGCCCCCCCAGCCAUGCAGAACUCUCUGGUGCCUGGCCCACAGGAAGGUUUCACUAAAUAUUGAAAUAAACUGAACUUAGAUUAAACUUUGGUGUCUAACUUAGGAAAAACAACAAAAGUUCUACAAAACUAUUCCUUCACAAGCUGUUGUAGCAGGGAGACCCUCAAGGGCAUCUACAAUAUCACCACAACUCUCAUAGAGCUGCCUGUGAAGGAUGACAAGAAGGAAGUAGGCUGAGACCCAAGUUCUGGGUCAGGGGACUAAUGCUGUUGUCACCAAGAAGGGAAAGUCUGAAGCCAGGCCUGCUUAGCAGAGGUCUCCAUAUAGUAGGGAUCUCACUCUUUCAAGAUGUAGGAUCUCAACAGGUUAGCCAGCCCUCUGAGUGAAGCUGGUCAGUUGGGGCGGUGACAACAUAGCACACUCAAAGGGGCAGACCCUUCUCAGCUCCAACAGAUUGGUGUCAUUGGAAAAGGUGGACCCAGUGUAGGCAGACUUUCCUAGAGAGUCCAGAAGUGACUGUGCAAGCCCAAAGCAAUCCAAACAAAUAUUUGUGGACCACCAAGAACCUCUGGUAUGAAGUAAAUAAUACAGGCAUUGAACAAUAAUAACCUGUCUGUAUGUCCACCAAUGGGACCGAUGGGCCACAGUGUGACAUCUAUCCUAUUCAUGUCAUAAGGGAGAUGAGUUCUACUGUGGGACAGUCUGUGUGACUGCUCGUAGGAGAUUAUCCAAUUCCCUUUGCUGUAAUUUCAUGGUCACCAAAUUUCUGCUUGCUAACUUUGUUUUACAACAAACUUUAGAAAGGAGGUGAUCUGAAUAAAAGGAUAUAUGUUUUUCAGUCUCUGGAAAGGGGUAUUUCUUUGUAUUGAGAAGCCAGAACUCUUGAGUGUGUUGAGCCUUGUAGAGAUUGAACUACUCUGGGUCAGCUGACAAAAUAAGAUUCUGGUGCUGAAAAACUGAGUAUGUGACCAUGAUAUUAACAGUGACCUAAGUUCGUGUGGCCCCCUUCGUUCUCCAGAAACCAACCAGUCAGCCUUCUUUUUGUAAAUGUAGCAGACACCAUUUUGCUAGUGAAUGAGGUUAAAUCUUUAGCCUUGUCAUUGGUUCAGCUUUGUAAUUUAAAACUCUCUUAUUUUACCCUCUGAUUUUAAAUCCCCAGAUUUUCCUUUCUGUGUCCUUUGCCCCCUGAAGUUUCCAUCUGUCUAGCAACUAAGCACUGUUUGGGU